rnacentral:rRNA from 1 species
UGCCAGCAGCCGCGGUAAUACAGAGGGGGUUAGCGUUGUUCGGAAUUGCUGGGCGUAAAGCGCGCGUAGGCGGACUAUUAAGUCGAUUGUGAAAUCCCCGGGCUCAACCCGGGAACUGCAAUCGAUACUGCUUUGCUAGAGUUUAGUUGGGGAUAGUGGAAUUCCUAGUGUAGGGGUGAAAUCCGUAGAUAUUAGGAGGAAUACCGGUGGCGAAAGCGACUAUCUAAGCUAAUACUGACGCUGAGGUACGAAAGCGUGGGGAGCAAACAGGAUUAGAUA